UACGAAGGGUGCAAGCGUUGUUCGGAUUUAUUGGGCGUAAAGCGCGCGUAGGCGGACCUGCAAGUCAGAUGUGAAAUCUCGGGGCUCAACCUCGAAACUGCGUCUGAAACUACAGGUCUAGAAUCUUGGAGGGGGAAGGGGAAUUUCUCAUGUAGGGGUAAAAUCCGUAGAUAUGAGAAGGAACACCAGAGGCGAAGGCGCCUUCCUGGACAAGUAUUGACGCUGAGGCGCGAAAGCGUGGGGAGCAAACAGG
rnacentral:rRNA from 1 species